ensembl:lncRNA
ACACAGCCUUUUGUUUCCCCUUCUGCUCCACCCAGGAUGGCCCUCUGCUCCCAGGUCCUGGAAGCUAUGAUGAGCUUCAGCCAUGGCAGCAUCACAUCUCCCAAGUUCACGCCCCAGAGUCACACUUCAGAUGCGCGUCCUCUGACGAAGACGGAAGGCAGCCUGUCCGCGUGUCUGAGUGUGUCACGGCCAUUCUGGCUCUGCCCACCAGUCCAUGAGCUCCUCUCCGGAGGCAGUGUAUUUCUCCGUUCUCCUCCAGCCCAACUUGUCAGCAGCCCCCUUGGGCGGCAAACGUAAAGGUUGUUUGGCUUCAAAGGUCAGCUCGGUACCCGUUCUUUGCCUCUGCUGCCAGAGUCCUACGAAAGCCGCGGGAGUGCAAGCCAUCCUGGAGGCAGGCCACCCCCGCUCCCACCCCCGUUCUCACUCCUUCACCAGCGCCCCCCUCGCCUGAACAGUGUCUUCAGCCAAGGAAGGACAGACGCUCACAGGCUGUGUUCCCACCGCCUUCCUCGCGCAGAAAAGCUUAAGCGCCAAAGCUCAGCACACACAGUUGUUCAAGUCACACAGCAGAAGCCACCAAGGGGGUCAGAUAGAAGGAGCCCUGGGGCUGGGGGGAUGACCCUUUGGUGUCCGUGGGCCUCUGUGCUCAAGAGGCUUGACAGUGCAGCGAAUAUAGCCUGGUUCAAAGUCAGGGAGGCUGUUUGGCUACAUUCUCAGGCAGUCAUUUCUAUUAAUGAGGCACCUGUCCUAAAAAUGCAGCUCUCAAAUCAGGGUCCAGGGCCUUUGGCACCCUGGCAGAUUCUUCCAGAUGGUCAGCAGGCUGUCGCAUCCAAUAUUAAUGCUUAAACUAUGACAGCAUCAACACCUCUGCUUCCAGCAUGACAAAACCACGUCCUUUCCUUGUGACAUCUCUAAGAACCAUGGACUGUCACCACUCAGGAACUUGGAGAGUUCCAACCUAUCCUCACUUCAUAGAUGAAAAGCCUGAGACCAGGAGCCAGGAAAAGCCACGCCGUAGCCCUUAAGAUUAAUGCCAGGUAGGGCAAGAACCCCAGUGCAGAUUUUCCUUGAGCUACAAUACCUGAACUGCCUUAAGGAAACACCUACUGUCAACCAUAGACUUUCUCCCACUCAAGUCCAGUGAAGGGUUUUUCCUAUCAAGGGUGGGUUCAGUAGCUAGACCAUGGGGAACUUUGCUUAAAUCACUGGAGAACCUCUGUUGUUAAUCAGAUUAAAUCCAAAGAGGAUUUAUUAAGUUUAUUUUUCAUUAGACAAUAUAAAACCAGCAAGUUCAAGGUCUUCUCAGUCUCAGAGGUCUAGGCUGUGUCCAGAACCCUACAGUUU